UUGUUUUCCUGGCGUAUGUAUGUUUGUAUGUCAUGAGGGAGUGCACUGACAUGCCAAUUCUCCUGCAGGAUCUAUGAUGGUGGUGAAGCAUGAGGAUGCACAUGAGAUGGAGGGAAAUGGCAUGGAAAGCACGUGACAAUAAGUGUAAAGGAAAGAAUAUGACUUGUAAUUUUUGGUUUUUUCUUUUGAUGUAAUUGGAUAUUAG
rnacentral:lncRNA from 1 species